GACGAACGUUGGCGGCGUGCUUAACGCAUGCAAGUCGAACGGAAAGGCCCUGCUUUUGUGGGGUGCUCGAGUGGCGAACGGGUGAGUAACACGUGAGUAACCUGCCCUUGACUUUGGGAUAACUUCAGGAAACUGGGGCUAAUACCGGAUAGGAGCUCCUGCUGCAUGGUGGGGGUUGGAAAGUUUCGGCGGUUGGGGAUGGACUCGCGGCUUAUCAGCUUGUUGGUGGGGUAGUGGCUUACCAAGGCUUUGACGGGUAGCCGGCCUGAGAGGGUGACCGGCCACAUUGGGACUGAGAUACGGCCCAGACUCCUACGGGAGGCAGCAGGGGGGAAUAUUGCACAAUGGGCGGAAGCCUGAUGCAGCAACGCCGCGUGCGGGAUGACGGCCUUCGGGUUGUAAACCGCUUUCGCCUGUGACGAAGCGUGAGUGACGGUAAUGGGUAAAGAAGCACCGGCUAACUACGUGCCAGCAGCCGCGGUGAUACGUAGGGUGCGAGCGUUGUCCGGAUUUAUUGGGCGUAAAGGGCUCGUAGGUGGUUGAUCGCGUCGGAAGUGUAAUCUUGGGGCUUAACCCUGAGCGUGCUUUCGAUACGGGUUGACUUGAGGAAGGUAGGGGAGAAUGGAAUUCCUGGUGGAGCGGUGGAAUGCGCAGAUAUCAGGAGGAACACCAGUGGCGAAGGCGGUUCUCUGGGCCUUUCCUGACGCUGAGGAGCGAAAGCGUGGGGAGCGAACAGGCUUAGAUACCCUGGUAGUCCACGCUGUAAACGGUGGGUACUAGGUGUGGGGUCCAUUCCACGGGUUCCGUGCCGUAGCUAACGCUUUAAGUACCCCGCCUGGGGAGUACGGCCGCAAGGCUAAAACUCAAAGGAAUUGACGGGGCCCCGCACAAGCGGCGGAGCAUGCGGAUUAAUUCGAUGCAACGCGUAGAACCUUACCUGGGUUUGACAUGGAUCGGGAGUGCUCAGAGAUGGGUGUGCCUCUUUUGGGGUCGGUUCACAGGUGGUGCAUGGCUGUCGUCAGCUCGUGUCGUGAGAUGUUGGGUUAAGUCCCGCAACGAGCGCAACCCUUGUUCACUGUUGCCAGCACGUUAUGGUGGGGACUCAGUGGAGACCGCCGGGGUCAACUCGGAGGAAGGUGGGGAUGACGUCAAGUCAUCAUGCCCCUUAUGUCCAGGGCUUCACGCAUGCUACAAUGGCUGGUACAGAGAGUGGCGAGCCUGUGAGGGUGAGCGAAUCUCGGAAAGCCGGUCUCAGUUCGGAUUGGGGUCUGCAACUCGACCUCAUGAAGUCGGAGUCGCUAGUAAUCGCAGAUCAGCAACGCUGCGGUGAAUACGUUCCCGGGGCU
rnacentral:rRNA from 1 species